CGAAAUGCGAUAAGUAAUGUGAAUUGCAGAAUUCAGUGAAUCAUCGAAUCUUUGAACGCACAUUGCGCCCUUUGGUAUUCCAUAGGGCAUGCCUGUUCGAGCGUCACUAACAACCCCAUCACAAAAGAGUGUGGUAUUGGCAGAAGUGGGUAGGGCUAGCAGCGCUGGCCCCACUCUGCUGGAAUGAAUAGGCCGGAAAUGUAGACCAUGGUAACAGACUUUCAGAGUAUUUUGCAAUGCUAAAUUAGUUUGUAGGCUUGGUCAGAAUCUAGGCCAUUUGGACCCCCAUUCUGCGUAAAGCAGUAAAUGUUGACCUCGGAUCAGGUAGGGAUACCCGCUGAACUUAAGCAUAUCAAUAAGCGGAGGAAAAGAAACCAACAGGGAUUGCCUUAGUAACGGCGAGUGAAGCGGCAAAAGCUCAAAUUUGAAAUCUGACACCUUCGGUGUUCGAGUUGUAAUUUGGAGAGGCAUCUUCUGGAGGGGCCCAGCCUAUGUGCCUUGGAACAGGACGUCAUAGAGGGUGAGAAUCCCGUACUUGGCUGGA
rnacentral:rRNA from 1 species